GUUUUAGGCUCUACAUAGCAUCACCCUGGACGGUCCAAAAUUAUCAUCGAUACCGGCAGUACAAAGCUUAUGUAGCAUAACUGUGGCAUAAAAACAUUAUUUUUCUGAUCAGUCAUGGUGACGAAAUCUUGGAAAGAGAGAGAGUGUAGGCAAACAAUUUUAAAGGAACUAUUGAAUAUACGUCCCAACGAAGCACAAAAGACUUCACAUAGAGAAAAAGGAUAACAUGCCCCUG
rnacentral:lncRNA from 1 species